CAGCAGCCGCGGUAACACGUAGGUGGCAAGCGUUGUCCGGAAUUAUUGGGCGUAAAGGGCUCGCAGGCGGUUUCUUAAGUCUGAUGUGAAAGCCCCCGGCUCAACCGGGGAGGGUCAUUGGAAACUGGGAAACUUGAGUGCAGAAGAGGAGAGUGGAAUUCCACGUGUAGCGGUGAAAUGCGUAGAGAUGUGGGGGAACACCAGUGGCGGAGGCGACUCUCUGGUCUGUAACUGACGCUGAGGAGCGAAAGCGUGGGGAGCAAACAGGAUUAGAGACCCCCGUAGUCCCUGUCUCUUAUAC
rnacentral:rRNA from 1 species